rnacentral:rRNA from 1 species
GAUGAACGCUAGCGGGAGGCCUAACACAUGCAAGCCGAGCGGUAGAGUUUCUUCGGAAACUUGAGAGCGGCGCACGGGUGCGUAACACGUGUGCAACCUACCUUUAUCUGGGGGAUAGCCUUUCGAAAGGAAGAUUAAUACCCCAUAAUAUAAUGAUUGGCAUCAAUUAUUAUUGAAAACUCCGGUGGAUAGAGAUGGGCACGCGCAAGAUUAGAUAGUUGGUGAGGUAACGGCUCACCAAGUCAAUGAUCUUUAGGGGUCCUGAGAGGGAGAUCCCCCACACUGGUACUGAGACACGGACCAGACUCCUACGGGAGGCAGCAGUGAGGAAUGUUGGACAAUGGGUGAGAGCCUGAUCCAGCCAUCCCGCGUGAAGGAUGACGGUCCUAUGGAUUGUAAACUUCUUUUGUACAGGGAUAAACCUACCCUCGUGAGGGUAGCUGAAGGUACUGUACGAAUAAGCACCGGCUAACUCCGUG